AUGAAAUGAUGAUUUUCAAAUGCAACAAUGAAUCUCUAUGAUUAUCACAAAAAUACACGAGCUUUUUAACUCUGAUCUAU